AGUGAACGCUGGCGGUAGGCCUAACACAUGCAAGUCGAACGGCAGCACAGUAAGAGCUUGCUCUUACGGGUGGCGAGUGGCGGACGGGUGAGGAAUACAUCGGAAUCUACUUUUUCGUGGGGGAUAACGUAGGGAAACUUACGCUAAUACCGCAUACGACCUACGGGUGAAAGCAGUGGAUCUUCGGACCUUGCGCGAUUGAAUGAGCCGAUGUCGGAUUAGCUAGUUGGCGGGGUAAAGGCCCACCAAGGCGACGAUCCGUAGCUGGUCUGAGAGGAUGAUCAGCCACACUGGAACUGAGACACGGUCCAGACUCCUACGGGAGGCGGCAGUGGGGAAUAUUGGACAAAGGGCGCAAGCCUGAUCCAGCCAUACCGCGUGGGUGAAGAAGGCCUUCGGGUUGUAAAGCCCUUUUGUUGGGAAAGAAAAGCAGCAGGUUAAUACCCCGCUGUUCUGACGGUACCCAAAGAAUAAGCACCGGCUAACUUCGUG
rnacentral:rRNA from 1 species